GGGGGAAAAUUAAUAAAAUAAAAAUAAUAAAAAAAUUUUUAAUAUUGGGGGAUAUUAAAGUAUUUUUUAAAAAAAAAAUAAAUUAUUUUAUAGUAAAUUAGUAUUGAAAAAGAAAUUUGAAAUAAUUGAAAAUUAAUUAAUGAAAAAGUAAUUUUUAUAUAGUGUAUCUUGUGUAUCAGAGUUUAUUAAAAAAUAUUUUUUUUAAAAAAAAAUCUCGAAUUUAAAAGAGUUAAUUAAUUAUAAAAGUUAAUGUAGAAAAAUUAUUUUUAAUAAUUAAUUUGAAAUGAAAUGUUAAUCGUUUUUAAAUAUAUCUAGUUAUUUUAGAAAAAAAUUUAAUUUAAAAUUUAAAAAAUUUUAUUUUUAAUUAUAAUUAAAAAUAAAAUUUUUAAAGUUAUAUAUGUUAAGGGAUAAGCUUUAAUAUAAAUAUUUAUAAUAAAUUGAAAUUAAAUAAAAAUUUUAAAAUUUAUAUUGUUUAAAAAUUAUAAUUUAUUAUAAAAAAUUUUAUUUAAAAUAAAAUUUAAUUAAAAUUUAAUUUUAUAUAAAAUAAUAAUAUUAAUAAUAAAAAAUUAAAAAUAAUGAUAAAAUUAGUAUAUUAUAAUAAAUAAAAGUAAUUUAAUUAAUUAAAAUUAAAUUAAAGGAAUUCGGCAAAAUUUUAUAUUCACUUGUUUAUCAAAAACAUGUCUUUUAGUAAAUAAUUUAAAGUCUAAUCUGCCCACUGAUAAUGAUAUUAAAGGGCUGCAGUAUAUUGACUGUACAAAGGUAGCAUAAUCAAUAGUCUUUUAAUUGAAGACUUGUAUGAAAGAUUUGAUGAAAUAUAAACUGUCUCUAAAUUAAAAAUAAAAUUUAAUUUUUUAGUUAAAAAGCUAAAAUAAAUUUAAAAGACGAGAAGACCCUAUAGAGUUUUAUAUUAAAAUUAUUUAAGAUUAUGUAUAUAAUUAAAAAUUAAAAAUAAGAUUAAUAUUUUGUUGGGGUGAUAAAAAAAUUAAUAUAACUUUUUUUUCAUAUUUAACAUAAAUAAGUGAAAAAUUGAUCCAUAAAUUAUGAUUAAAAGAAAAAAUUACCUUAGGGAUAACAGCGUAAUAUUUUCUUUUAGUACAAAUAAGAGAAAAAGUUUGCGACCUCGAUGUUGGAUUAAGAUAAAAUUUAAAUGCAAAAGUUUAAAAUUUUGAUCUGUUCGAUCAUUAAAAUCUUACAUGAUCUGAGUUCAAACCGGUGUGAGCCAGGUUGGUUUCUAUCUUUAAAAUGUUUAAAUAUUUUAGUACGAAAGGAUCAAAUAUUUUUAAUAAUUAAAAUUUAAUGAAUAUUAAUAAUUAAUAAUAU
rnacentral:rRNA from 1 species